ensembl:lncRNA
AUGACAUGUGAGUGGCCCAUCUGGUCUUACCCACCUUCUCCGGAAAGGUCCGUGUUUCCAUUGUCCUGCCACAUCUCCUGCGCAGAGAAAGGUCACGUGCAGCGCCAUGGCGGAAAGGUGCAAGAGAGUCUCCUAUUGGACGGUGGAGGAGGUGCAGAGAUGGGUCCAACAGCAGUAUCCCACUGGGCAGACUGCCUUUCUGCUGGCGGUCGCAAGUCACUCCAUUUCAGGUCGGGCCCUGCUGAGGAUGGGCGAGCUCCAGCUCAGCCGGAUGGGGAUUGCACCAAAGCAGCAGCAGGAGAUCCUGCAGGGCGUCAUGCUCCUCCGUGUCCAGGAGGAGCUGGAGAACAUCAACGACAUCUUCUCAGAGUGUUUCUCCUUGUGACCAGAGGCAGAGGGGAAAGGAAGGCAUCAGCUUUCAGGAGCGCUGACCCGAGGAAUUCUGGGAUAUUGAUUUCACCACGGUACUAUACUUCCGGACAGUGGACGGGUUGCCUCUCGCUGUGCGCUGCUCCCCGUGUUCCUCUCUCUCUGUAAACACAGUGUCCGGGCCUCUGUGUGGCUGCUGAUGCUCAGAGAAAUCAUCUUUCGCUCUCAGCAAGGGAGCUCCGGACCAGAACAGCACCGCAACCGGAACCGCGUGCUCCCUUUAAAACGCCAAAGCCCUGCUGAGUUACUGUCCCGAGACCCCCCUGCGAGUCCAGAUGUGGAGCGGGGAAAUGAGCACCGGCGUCCACGCGGCUGGCCGCGAACGCGAUGCAGAUAGCAGCCGCGUGCCGGCGGUGCCUCGUAAGCACUUUGGUUCAGGGGAGCGUGAGGAGAAAUCAUUUCACGGGGGGUUGUUUUUGCCAGAAGCUGUAUGGCCUUAAAGGGCCGUCAUUCCAUUUCAGCCACAUACAGACACGUUUAUCUUUUUCCACAGCUUUGCCUGCCUUUGCUCUCUCGCUUCUAUUGUUUGUCACACAUUUGUAUUGUACAUGGUGCCAUGAGUAUUAUUGGAAUGUUUUUGGUGAGAUAGGUGCUUUGGCCAUGGUCACUCAAAGACCAUUUAGUGCAUUAAAUCUGCAUAUCGUAUUUUUCUUAUGUUUUCACUUUUCCCUUGCGCGUAGACUGAAUUGACUUGCAAGAGUCAUUGGUGAGUUAGAUUUCAUUUUUCCAUUUUUUUAAAUAAUUUCUUGGAUUUGUGUUUAGAAACUUUUCUUUGUACUUUGUUCUGAUACUUUCAGAAUAGGCACAACAAUAUUGUUCAUAUUAUUUCAUUGUAAAAUGUCUUUCCCGCAUUGAAUGACGCAUUGAUUGUUUUGUCCCAUGAUUUUUGGCAUGAUGCAUUUCAGAAAUAAAGCACUCUUGCAGACGAAAGGCA